CGAAAAUCGUAAUCGACAGCAAAUUCUGCCCCUUGAUUGGUUGAAUUCGCUGUUCACAUUUUUUUCACAGCCUGUAUCAAGGAGAUUUUGC